GGAUAUGAGGAUAGUCUGGCUGCAGCAUCUGUCCCAUCACUGAUCUUCAAGGUUGAUUUGGCUGAUCUGAAAGAUGAGGCAGCUAUCCCCUUUCUCCCUUGUGGCUCCAUGUGUAUCCCUCCAGAAGCUGUGCACUAGGGUGAAGAGGAUAACUUGCCCCAUAUAUAAUAGAAAGAGACUAUAGGUGUCACUGUACUUCCUGCUAGAACUUCCAAACAAGCUCUCAAUGUUCACUUGUAGGAGAAUAUAGGGUAGUCAAGCUCACAGGCUUCCAGAUACAUCCAAAUGAGGAGCUGUUCAUGGCAACCUUCCUUUCAAC
rfam:Erinaceus europaeus unplaced genomic scaffold scaffold00292, whole genome shotgun sequence